rnacentral:rRNA from 1 species
UACGUAGGGUGCAAGCGUUAGUCGGAAUUACUGGGCGUAAAGCGUGCGCAGGCGGCUUUGCAAGACAGAUGUGAAAUCCCCGGGCUUAACCUGGGAACUGCAUUUGUGACUGCAUGGCUAGAGUGCGGCAGAGGGGGAUGGAAUUCCGCGUGUAGCAGUGAAAUGCGUAGAUAUGCGGAGGAACACCGAUGGCGAAGGCAAUCCCCUGGGCCUGCACUGACGCUCAUGCACGAAAGCGUGGGGAGCAAACAGG